AUUGAACGCUGGCGGCACGCUUAACACAUGCAAGUCGAACGGCAGCACGGGUGUAGCAAUACACUGGGUGGCGAGUGGCGGACGGGUGAGUAAUACAUACGGAACUUGCCUUGGAGCGGGGGAUAACUUGGGGAAACUCAAGAUAAUACCGCAUAAUAUCUACGGAUUAAAGUCGCAAGACGCUCCAAGAGAGGCCUAUGUCUGAUUAGGUAGUUGGUGGGGUAAAAGCCUACCAAGCCAACGAUCAGUAGCUGUUCUGAGAGGAAGAUCAGCCACACUGGGACUGAGACACGGCCCAGACUCCUACGGGAGGCAGCAGUGGGGGAUCUUGGACAAUGGGGGAAACCCUGAUCCAGCGAUGCCGCGUGAGUGAAGAAGGCCUUCGGGUUGUAAAGCUCUUUUGUUAGGGAAGAAGAUUACCGAAAGGUGGUUUGACGGUACCUAAAGAAUAAGCACCGGCUAACUCUGUGCCAGCCGCCGCGGUAAAAC
rnacentral:rRNA from 1 species